rnacentral:rRNA from 1 species
CUACGGGAGGCAGCAGUAGGGAAUAUUGGGCAAUGGGCGCAAGCCUGACCCAGCCAUGCCGCGUGCAGGAAGAAGGCGUUAUGCGUUGUAAACUGCUUUUAUACAGGAAGAAACGACCCUUGCGAGGGGCAUUGACGGUACUGUAUGAAUAAGCACCGGCUAACUCCGUGCCAGCAGCCGCGGUAAUACGGAGGGUGCAAGCGUUGUCCGGAUUUAUUGGGUUUAAAGGGUGCGCAGGUGGUUUAUUAAGUCAGUGGUGAAAGACGGUCGCUCAACGAUUGCAGUGCCAUUGAUACUGGUAGACUUGAGUAAAGUAGAGGUGGGCGGAAUUGAUAGUGUAGCGGUGAAAUGCAUAGAUAUUAUCAAGAACUCCAAUUGCGUAGGCAGCUCACUUGGCUUUUACUGACACUCAUGCACGAAAGUGUGGGUAUCAAACAGGAUUAGAUACCCUGGUAGC